UCCCGCCUCCCGCCCAACGGCUGUCGGGCCCCAGUUGGCGCGCGGAGGCGUCCGUCCACUCGCCCGGCGGCGGCGGCUGCAGCAACAGCAGGGGCUCAGGGUCCGGUUUACAGCAGCACGCCUCUCUCUCGGCCUCCGUCCGCGGCAUUGAUCGCGACUCAGUCCGUCGGUGAACACCUCUCGUGCAUAAACUAACUUCUGGUUUACUGGCGCCUGCCUUUCUACAGCCUUUUGACUCUAUGACUAUCCCCCCACUUCUCUUUCCGUCCAUAUGAAGGGUUCCAACCCAAAGUGUCAUUCCACAUGUCAGCGGAUUCCACUCAAGCAGAGGGAGGAGAGACUACAACCCAGACCUCUGCUUCACAUCGAAAACCGAUGUUGGCCACCCCCUCCAUGCAUGACGUAAGAUCCUUUCACACUUCCCUCACAGUCAACAUAGACCUGCUCUGAUCCACAUCGGUAUACAGAUCCCGGUGAUCUCAUUCAAGCCUCUCCCAUGCUGGAUCUUCAGGAAAGCAGAUUGGACAGGUUUCACACGAGAUGUUGAGGAAAAGAUCAUGUCUUGAACCUGUCCUCAUGAACUACAAGUCCUUCUGCACGAUCCUGAAGGCUGCAGCAAAGUACGUCCCUAGAGGCUUUCGCAAAACCUUAACUCCUUGCUGGCUCCCUAACUCAGAAGACCUCUUGAAGCAGUUUGAGGCCACAGGCAACCCAGAUAUUGCCACAGAACUGCUAGAUACCCUGGAUGCAGCAAGACAUCAGCUCUGGCAAGAGACUGUUGAUGACAAACUUUCAAGAUUCAAGAGAGUUUAUUGUCAUGUGUCCCAGAUAGGACAAUGAAAUUCUUUGCUUCAGCACAACAGAAUAUAGUAGGCAUGAAUACAGAACAGAUCAGUGUGUUCA